GGGUGUGUAGCUCAGUUGGUAGAGCAGCUGACUCUUAAUCAGCGGGUCCACGGUUCGAGCCCGUGCUCACCCA
rnacentral:tRNA from 1 species